rnacentral:RNase_P_RNA from 1 species
AAGACGUGCGUGGCAAGGGUGAAACGGUGCGGUAAGAGCGCACCGCGAGUCUGGCAACAGACCGGCACGGCAAACCCCACCGGGAGCAAGACCAAAUAGGGAGACGAUGCCGCGACCCGCGGUGUCUCCGGGUAGGUUGCUUGAGCGCAGCGGUGACGUUGCGCCUAGAGGAAUGACUGUCCACGACAGAACCCGGCUUAUCGGCCGGCUCCGCCA